UACGUAGGGGGGCAAGCGUUUGUCCGGAUUUAUUGGGCGUAAAGAGCUCGUAGGUGGUUCGGUAAGUCGGAUGUGAAAUCUCCAGGCUCAACCUGGAGGGGUCAUUCGAUACUGCCGUGACUAGAGGUCGGUAGGGGAGUGUGGAAUUCCUGGUGUAGCGGUGAAAUGCGCAGAUAUCAGGAGGAACACCGGUGGCGAAGGCGGGUCUCUGGGCCGAUACUGACGCUGAGGAGCGAAAGCGUGGGGAGCGAACAGG
rnacentral:rRNA from 1 species